GGGAAAUGGUCUUUUCUUUGAUUGGCUGCAGGUGUCCUGCUGGUAUCAACAGCUUCUUUAUUCUCAAUGCAGAAAACAGGGUUUGGGACAUUGGUUGUUAUAUUUGACUUGAAAAAAAAAAAAAAAGAAAGAAAGAAAGAAACCAAAUGCGCUUUGCAAUGUUUAUUACACAAACAGCUUGCUGCUGCUCUCAUAUUUUGGGUUUGUAUUUGAAUUAGAUUGGCUUGCCCAUGACUCCUGUUGCCAUAGAGGGGGCUGGAGUCCAACUUAGAUUACAUUUGCUUUAAUGACCACCUGCCUCUACUAGCACAGGGAUCCUCAGGACCCCGAGCAGGAUCCACAGUGGAAAACAGGGCCCCCAAGGAGCUUGGUGUUGUUCUGUUCCAGCAACCCAGAACCUGGGUGAAUAGGAGGCAGGACUUAUAAGCAUUACUUACAUGAGUUGGAACAAGCCAGUUUCCCUCAGUGGGAAUGGUCUCACAUGCUGUGCAGGAAAUGUCUCAGUGGUAGCGUGCUUGCCUGGCACAGGUGAGGUCCUGGGUUCAAUUCUCAGUACUGUAAGGAAAAAAAAAGAAAGAAAGAAAGAAAUCUGGCCAGCCUCUCCUGGCCAGCCAUGCUAAGCAGAAGAGCACUGGGCUAGGCAACUCACCCACCUGCCAUCCCUGCCUGUCCCCCUUCUCGAGGCCUGAUCUUGGGCCUUCUCCCAGAAAGGAAAGGUAAUAUUCUCAGCUGUGAGACUCCAUAGGUCAUCUAGCUGGGGUCUCUUCUCAGGAGCCCAGAACACAGAGGACAGCCCCAGGUUGGCUCCCAAGGCCUCGGAGGACACGCUUGUGCCAUCUUUCCCUUCCCAGGGCAUGGGGCACUGUGUAUCAUGGAGCAUGCACCAACCCGUCCCUGGCUGACGCUGGGCAGCGGUGUCUACAGUGUCGCACACACGCACACCAUCACGCUUGUUCUGCGAGGAUUUGAGUGUUACCGGUGAAUGGCAGCGGUGAGCAUCCAGGCUGCUCCUGGCCGCCUUUGAACGGGCCUUUGUCUCGGGGAAACUGAUCUCUCUGUGGCACCUGGUUCUGUUAGUUGGGGCAGGAGCCAACUUCCUGCUGGGGCAGCUCUGAGCCCCAGGGACCUCAGCACCACACCUCUGCCCCUCCUGCGUGGGUGGGUCCUCUCUGGGGGCUGCUCCCGGCCACCACUCCUUCCCCUCUCCCCCUGUUAGAAGGGAUCACACCACCCUGGCUGUCCACUGGAGGAACUCCAUCUUCUGGGAGACGGGGGUGUGGUGGGGGGUGGCGGCUAGGCCUCCUCAGGGUCAAGGGCAGUGAAAUAAAUGUCAGCCAUUGUCUUGCCUUCCCUGCCCCCCACCCCCAUACUGGAACUGCCCCCUCCUGGAUGCUUCCAGAGGGCUGCCGAGCUGUGCCAGCCCUGCCUGGUGGGCCAGUCAGAAGAGCCACCAACGCAAGCCACGCCCCACCCUGCCACCCUGGUGGGGGUGGAAUGUAGCUACAGGAGGCCAUCGCUGUUUGCACACGUGGGAGCCACACCCCACUCUGCACAGCCCCAGGAGGUGACUUCAGACCCAGAGCCUCUUAACCCUCUCCACUUCCCAGCAGGUGUGGCGAGGCACUCUGUAAUCACAGUGACUCAGAGGCUGGAGUAGGAAGAGGGCAAUUCAGGGCCAGUGUCAGCAAGUUAGUGAAACCCUGCCUUCAAAAUAAAGAAUUAAAAAGGGCUGGGGGUGUGGCUCAGUAGUAAAGCACCCCUGAAUUUGAUCCCUAAAUUUCUUGUGUUAGAAACUUAAUCCUCAAGUUCAUGUCAUUGGUGAUUGGAGAGCAGCCUUUGGGAGGUCAUUAGCCUUAGAUGAAUUCAUGAGGGUGAGUCCCUAUGAUGGCAUUAGUGGCUUUAUGAAAAGAGGAAAGCAGACCCGAGCUAACACACAUGGUCUGUCUUACCAUGUGAUGCCCUCCACCAUGUAAAAUGCAAGAAGAAGGCCCACACCAGAUGCUAGCACCAUGCUUUUGAACUUCCAGCCUCCAGAAUUGUGAGCCAAAUAAAUCUCUUUUCUUUAUAAAUUA